rnacentral:tRNA from 1 species
GAUUAAAAUAAUAUAGGAUAAAAUUUUUAAUUUGCAAUUAAAAGUUAUUGAUAAUUUUCAAUUUAUCU